CUACGGGUGGCAGCAGUGAGGAAUAUUGCACAACGGGGGGAACCCUGAUGCAGCAACGCCGCGUGGAGGAUGACGCAUUUCGGUGUGUAAACUCCUUUUAUAUGUCAAGAAAAUGACGGUAGCAUAUGAAUAAGCACCGGCUAACUCCGUGCCAGCAGCCGCGGUAAUACGGAGGGUGCAAGCGUUACUCGGAAUCACUGGGCGUAAAGGACGCGUAGGCGGGUUGGAAAGUCAGGUGUGAAAUCCUACAGCUUAACUGUAGAACUGCACUUGAAACUUCUAAUCGAGAGUAUGCGAAGGGGAGAUGGAAUUAGUGGUGUAGGGGUAAAAUCCGUAGAUAUCACUAGGAAUACCUAAAGCGAAGGCGAUCUCCUGGAACAUUACUGACGCUAAGGCGUGAAAGCGUGGGGAGCAAACAGGAUUAGAUACCCCAGUAGUC
rnacentral:rRNA from 1 species